UCUCCGUUGGUGAACCAGCGGAGGGAUCAUUACAGAGUUUUUAACUCCCAAACCCAUGUGAACUUACCAUUGUUGCCUCGGCGGAGCCUACCCUGUAGCUACCCUGUAGGGUGGUUACCCUGUAGCGACCUACCCUGUAGCCGCCGGCGGACCAAUAAACUCUUGUUAUUCUAUGGAUAUCUGAGCAUCUUAUUUAAUAAGUUAAAACUUUCAACAACGGAUCUCUUGGUUCUGGCAUCGAUGAAGAACGCAGC
rnacentral:misc_RNA from 1 species